GCAAACCCUACCACCCCACUCACUCCCAUCCUCUCUCUCUCUCCUCUCCCUGCCGCCGCCGCCGCUCUCCCUGCUCGCCGCGCUCGCGCCUCUGCCUCCACUCCCAUCUUGCUCUCCGCCUGCCUCCACCGCCACCGCAUCGUCUCUCCCGUUGCCUCGCCCAGCUCGGCCCCCAGCCUCUGCCUCCUAGGCACGCGGCCCUAGCCCGGCUGCAGGGCCUCCCGCACUAGAUCUCGCAGGGGCGUGCUCGGAGCGGCGGCCGGCGACCCCCCGGCGCGGAGGCCUUGGCCGGGCUCGGCCACGGCACCGGAGGCCUCGGCAGGCUCGGCCCGUCAGAUCUCGCGCCGGCGGGUGCAGCAGUUGUGGUGGCACAGCGGGUGGCUACGAGAGCGGCGUGCGCCAGGAGGGAGCAGCGGCGGCUGGAGUUAUAGAGCUGCGGUCCCUCCCUUCGCCCUCCUAUCCGCCGGCACGAGCAAUACCGUCGCUUGAGCUCGGGGAGCAGUCGAGAGCUCGUGCAGCCUCGGAAGCAUAUAGUCAAAAAAAAGUUAUGGUGCUCCCCGUCGCCGCCCCUCCCUUUCCCCCUCUCCGCCUACCUCCGUCGCUCCUCCCCCCUCUUUGCCUGCCUCCGUCGGUCCUCCCCGCCGUCGCUACUCUUGCUCUUCGCCGCCGCCGCCGCUCGCUCUCGCGGUAUCCGGAUCCGGAUCCGACGCGAGGGGCGGCUCGAAGGGAGGGGCUCGAAGUGAGGGGGCGCGUGUCGGCCGGCCACGGCGCUGCUGCUCCAGCGCAUCGAGCAGAGCGGCCGGCGGCCGCCGUGUGCCUAGGCCGGCCCCGCUGGGCCGUAUCCCAUCACCUUCGACGCGGAGGAGGCAAGGUCAACUGUGAGGCGGUGGCGCGGGAGAGCAUGCCAGCCGGGCUCCUCGACGUGCUGCGGGAGGCCAAGCGCAAUGCUCCUAUCCUUCCUCAAGUCGGACGCCAUCCUCUCGCCGGCCUUCUAGCCCCAGUCCUUUGCCCCCAUUGCCAUUCCUCUCCAGGCUCCUCUGCUCCUCACCGUGUCUCUGACCCAGCCUCCGCGCUGCUCGCCCUCGCGUUCCUCUCCGCCGCCGCCACAGUGGCGCCCUUGCCGCUCCUCCCCGCGGAUGCCGCGGCCAUCACUGCCCGGCUGCUCCUCGAAUUUCCCACCUCCGAGGAUGUGCCAAGAAGGAAAAAGGGGAAAAGGGAGGAAGCAAAUAAUGGAGGGAUCAGGGACGUGGUGCGGAGCUUCAAGGAGGAGCAGGUCGAGGAGCUGGAGCGAAUGAAGGUCGCUUUCAGGAGCAGGCCUGUCAGGAAUGCUGCUGCACGGCAAGUCCGAUCACUCAUGGAUUUCCUCAAGGUGAGGUUCUUCCCUUCGUUAUUGCCUGUAUCUGUUGAUUGCUGUUGGCUCAUUGUCGUGGUGAAUGGUUUGCAGAUCAACCAGGCAUAGUGAAUCAUGCAACAAUUAAUAAGUUUCAUUUAUCACUUAAUUUAUAUUCAGCUUCCCCUUUUUUUUCCCUAGCUCUAGCUUUCAGAGCCACAUGUAGAGAGCUAACACCUUAGGAGCCAAUGCGGUUGAUGAAAUUGUGUGUUGAUUGCUGCACAGAGUUAUCAGAAGCACCCAAUAAGAAGUUGCUGAUAAAACUAUAUAAUCUUGAGGCCUCCGAAGAUGAAGUCAUUGUUUCUGAUUGCGGACUGCAGGAUCUGUCAAUUAAGCCCUUUCUUGAUUCCCUAAUAUCAUAAACAAUAUCAGUAUUGGAUCUUUCUCAUAACAUAAUAGGUACCUAUUUUCCAGUAACUCAAUUCAUUUUUGUUUUGUCUUACACCGUGCAUCAUUAUUUUGGCAGCACUGUAGAAAUCAUCAUUUACAGUUAAAUGGGUGUUUUCUUUACUAUCAAACAUGUGCUACCAAUCCCUUACAUGUAGUGCUUUAUGCUGUUCUGAUAACCCAAACCCAUGAUUGGUACGUAUAGCCUUUUAAGGAACUUAUUCAGCCACUCCAUUGCUGACUAUACUGCUUUGAUCUUAAUUUAUGGGAUAGUAUUGAACUGCUACUUUGCUCUUAUUGCCUAUUGGACUGAUAUGGUAUUUCUGUAAUUCUGCUAAAAAAUCACAAGGAACCAAACAAUCAAAUGGCUUCAGCAUAUAUUUGCUUCAUCAUGUCAGACAUAUGGUGGCUUGGCUCUGGAUGACUGGAUUUGCAUUGUAAUCGAUUUGGUCCCACGUCUUCAUUUGCAUUGUAAUCAAUUUGGUCCCACGCGGCUUAAUUUUAGGUUUUUUACGAUCCCUGAGAUCUAUUCAUCAAAUUGAAAUAAUAUGGUACUCAGUUUAGGGUUGGAAAUUCUGCAUUCGCUUUUUGCACAUUUAUGAUGUGGAUCCUGUUUAAAAACAAGGAGAAACACAUGCAAGCAUACAACAAUCUUAUAUGCUAUAUUUAACAGAAUUAUGUUACAGUACAAGAAUGCAAGACAUGCGAACCAUUUCUUGAGAAUGAACAAUAUUCUAUUAUCAAAGGAGAACAUUUAUUUGAACUCAGCAGAUUUGAUCCGUAAUCUUGGAGGAAAUUCGGAGAGCCAAUUAACCAUUUCAUAAACAUUGGAGGAAAUUCAAUUAACCUGAGGUUUAAUUCCUAUUCAGAUGUUCUUGUAAUAUGUAUUACCAUAUCUCGGGAGCCAUGCAGUAUUAGAUCUCUCACACUGGAUAGAUGCAACCUUGGACUUGCUGGAGUUGUUUGUAUUAUUCAUGCACUAUCAGGAAAUGACCAGCUGGAGGAGCUGCCCUUGGCAGAGAACACAAACUCGGCACUAGAGAGAAUAAUUCAAUACGAAGACAUGCAAGAAGUAUCAACAACCAAUGAGGAAAAACAAUAAUGUAACAACCUUGAAACAAGCAAUGCUGUAGCCUGUGGGAAUAUUGUGAAUAUAAUUUGUCAUUUUUUAUUGCCUUAUGAUUACUUACAUUUGAUUGUUCAGAUAGUAGGGCGCGCAUCGCGCGCCGAAUGUUCUAGUGUGUUUUAUAGAUGCCAUAUAUUUUCUUGCUAGGCAUCACCGUGGCUAUCCAUUCUACUUCAAAUGCUACUCCAUAAAUUUUUCUAAUAAAUGAUUAGUCAUCGUCUAGUUUAUUUUGAGAAAUCUUUUUUGUAGAAAAUCAUACCAUCCUUAGUUUUUACAUGCAGUUCACAAAGCUGUGCCUACUUAGCAUUGUAUUCUUCAAAGGCAGCCCCUUGAGAGAUGUAUUUAGCAGGUGCAUCAUGAGUGCUAUGGGAAAUAUGCAUGGUCAUACUAAAUUUGCAGCUAGAGAAGUUUGUGUGUUCAUAAUACUCGCUGCGACUUAUGCAACUAAGUUUGAGAUAUUAAGGUAUUUUGUCUUUCUACGAGUGUCUAAUUUUGGUUUUGUCUGUCUAUAAUUGUUUGAUUGAGUUAUAUUGUGGCUUGAUUUUUGAUUUUCCUAUAGGUUUCUAUCUGAUUUGUGUUUUGUAGUGGCUUGAUUGAGGAAUAUUGGGGCUCAAUUUGUUGAUUCCUAGUAGGUUUGGUUUCUCUGAAUUUUCCUUCUCUUGUCACAAAUGGCACAGGAGGAUCACUUUGUGUUGAUUCUCAAUUCUUGAUGGCUUAUGUUAUCUGACACGUUGCCCCAUCAGAGGUAGCAAGGUGAUCUUGCACUUUUCACAAUAAGUGUAAACAGGUAAGUCAGAGGAAAGCAGAUGUCUUAUUUUAAUUUAGCUUGCCAUGCCUUUGAUCAGUAUAUUUGUUAGUCAUUGAAAUUGUUCUUUGGUUUGUGUUUUGCAAUACUGAUAUUAUGAUCAAUACACACUGGUGGUGUUACUGAUUUCAAAUCUUCAUCUCUGUUUUCAUGUUCCUGAAUCUCACCAUAACAAACGUUUUUGUUCUUUCUCGCUGCUGGUAUGCAUUCUUAAUGUGGAUCUCAUUCUAAUUUGGUUUUGAUAGAAAAAAAAUUGAAAGAUUUUCCUUUUUUCUCGGCUGAUAUAUGAAACACUAAUUUACAGUACAUAUCUAAGUGCACUGUGUUUGUAUAUUUAAUGUGAAUUUAAAAAUAUUUAUAGCCAAUUAUAUUAUUUGUAGGAUACAAAAUAAUAAACUGUCAUAAAUCUUCAAGCUGCUCAAUUAUCAGUGCUUUGUUCUUCUGCAAAUUUUAUUGAUCAUAUUUUAAGUGGCAUUUUUCUUUUCUGUUAUAAGGCCUCUAGAGUUUAAGAUCAUUAAUCAAAUUUGUAUGAUUACGAUGUCUACAUGUUUUUGUUACACUGUAAUAUAGUAAAGUUUUGGUUAUUUUUUUACUUCCACCUGCAUGUGGUAUGCAGCAAGCAUUGUUCUCAAGGCGGUAAGGCGGACGCCUAGCAAGGUGGGGCGGCUGGACGCCUAGGCGAGCAAGGCGGGCGCUUAGGCGAGCAAGGCGCAAAUCGGUGGACGGCGCAUGGAUGCCUAGGCGUUGCCUAGGCGACGCCUUGAGAACAGGGACAGCAAGUAUAAAUCAUGAGAUUGAUUUAGCAUGUAGAGGACAUUAUAGUGAACUUAAGGAACUUGGAUUUGCAGAAGAAGCAUUUUUAUAGAAUUACUUAUGGA